UGUGUUUUCUAAACAGGUGACUACUGAAGAG
rnacentral:piRNA from 1 species